AGUGAACGCUGGCGGUAGGCCUAACACAUGCAAGUCGAACGGCAGCACAGUAAGAGCUUGCUCUUACGGGUGGCGAGUGGCGGACGGGUGAGGAAUACAUCGGAAUCUACUUUUUCGUGGGGGAUAACGUAGGGAAACUUACGCUAAUACCGCAUAUGAUCUACGGGUGAAAGCAGGGGAUCUUCGGACCUUGCGCGAUUGAAUGAGCCGAUGUCGGAUUAGCUAGUUGGCGGGGUAAAGGCCCACCAAGGCGACGAUCCGUAGCUGGUCUGAGAGGAUGAUCAGCCACACUGGAACUGAGACACGGUCCAGACUCCUACGGGAGGCAGCAGUGGGGAAUAUUGGACAAUGGGCGCAAGCCUGAUCCAGCCAUACCGCGUGGGUGAAGAAGGCCUUCGGGUUGUAAAGCCCUUUUGUUGGGAAAGAAAAGCAGCAGGUUAAUACCCCGCUGUUCUGACGGUACCCAAAGAAUAAGCACCGGCUAACUUCGUG
rnacentral:rRNA from 1 species